GACGAACGCUGGCGGCGUGCCUAAUACAUGCCAGUCGAACGAGAGCGCCCGGUGCUUGCACUGGUCAAUCUAGUGGCGAACGGGUGAGUAACACGUGGGUAACCUGCUCAUCAGAGGGGGAUAACAUCCGGAAACGGAUGCUAAAACCGCAUAGGUCUUCGAGCCGCAUGGCUUGAAGAGGAAAAGAGGCGCAAGCUUCUGCUGAUGGAUGGACCCGCGGUGCAUUAGCUAGUUGGUGAGGUAACGGCUCACCAAGGCCGUGAUGCAUAGCCGACCUGAGAGGGUGAUCGGCCACAUUGGGACUGAGACACGGCCCAAACUCCUACGGGAGGCAGCAGUAGGGAAUCUUCCGCAAUGGACGCAAGUCUGACGGAGCAACGCCGCGUGAGUGAAGAAGGUUUUCGGAUCGUAAAACUCUGUUGUUAGAGAAGAACAAGUGCUAGAGUAACUGUUAGCGCCUUGACGGUAUCUAACCAGAAAGCCACGGCUAACUACGUG
rnacentral:rRNA from 1 species